rnacentral:rRNA from 1 species
UCCUACGGGGGGCAGCAGUGGGGAAUAUUGGACAAUGGGCGCAGGCCUGAUCCAGCCAUGCCGCGUGUGUGAUGAAGGCCCUAGGGUUGUAAAGCACUUUCAACGGUGAAGAUAAUGACGGUAACCGUAGAAGAAGCUCCGGCUAACUUCGUGCCAGCAGCCGCGGUAAUACGAAGGGAGCUAGCGUUGUUCGGAAUUACUGGGCGUAAAGCGCGCGUAGGCGGGCUAUUAAGUUAGGGGUGAAAUCCCGGGGCUCAACCCCGGAACUGCCCUUGAUACUGGUAGUCUAGAGUUCGAGAGAGGUGAGUGGAAUUCCGAGUGUAGAGGUGAAAUUCGUAGAUAUUCGGAGGAACACCAGUGGCGAAGGCGGCUCACUGGCUCGAUACUGACGCUGAGGUGCGAAAGUGUGGGGAGCAAACAGGAUUAGAUACCCUGGUAGUCCACACCGUAAACGAUGGAUGCUAGCCGUUGGACAGUUUACUGUUCAGUGGCGCAGCUAACGCAUUAAGCAUCCCGCCUGGGGAGUACGGUCGCAGGAUUAAAACUCAAAGGAAUUGACGG